rnacentral:rRNA from 1 species
UACGUAGGGGGCAAGCGUUAUCCGGAUUUACUGGGUGUAAAGGGAGCGUAGACGGCAUGGCAAGCCAGAUGUGAAAUACCGGGGCUCAACCCCGGGACUGCAUUUGGAACUGUUAAGCUGGAGUGUCGGAGAGGCAGGCGGAAUUCCUAGUGUAGCCGUGAAAUGCGUAGAUAUUAGGAGGAACACCAGUGGCGAAGGCGGCCUGCUGGACGAUAACUGACGUUGAGGCUCGAAAGCGUGGGGAGCAAACAGG